UGGGACUUAGCAGGUUCUUUACAAGGGAGGAGGUCAAACGCUAGAUGAGGAGUCAAAUCUCGACUUCUCUCCACUCAGUGCUUUUGGGGGGCUCUUCUCGGCACCUGGAACCCAGCUCCUUCUGCGUACGGGAAAGGAGCCCGUUAUUGCCUCCUCAACACCUGGGACGGCAGGUGGGACGGCCUGGCUCACUAUGGGACUUCCUCCAUACCUGCUCCACCGUGGCCAGCCUCCACUGGACACCAGACUAAAGGGACUGCAUGAUCCUGAAGUGUGAACCUCCACACUCAAAGACAGAUGUCUGCUGUCCUGAGAAGGUGGAGGAGGGUCCUUGGAGACUCCUGAAAUGCGUUGCUACCCUCUUUCCAGAUAUCCUCAGCUUGUUCAGAGGUGACACAAAGAUCUGCAGCUUUGAGUGAAUGAAGUGUUUCUCUCUCUGUGAUUCCCAUGAUACCUCACGAAUGCCAGCAAGGCUCAGACGUUCAGAUUUGCUCCAAUCGUUUGAUUCAAGGAAAACUAAAAAGGAGAUGAAGACCUGGGUCAUCUUGCUCAUGCCACACUGCAGGCUGGGUGCGGACCCGAGUGAUGACCAAGAAUUCCUAUUCCAUCUCAUGGUUUGCAAAAAUGUUUUUUGAAACCAAGACCCCUGGCCUGGCAGAGAAGGUGCUGCAUCAAACCAAAGCAUGUUUUUUCUUCUCAAAGUACAGGCAGAGAUGUGAGAGUGUAAGAGGGGCUUAUGUGAGGCUUCAGUGGAGAUGGACAACUACUCACCUCUGUCACAAGUCCUUAUGGUCCCUGAAAGGUCCCUGAGGUUCCAAUUUGUGUGUGGUGUAGCCAGAGAUGAUGCAUUCAUCUCAACUUUGCCAUUUACCACAUCUGUGAAAAUUUAAGUACAUUUGAAUGUUCUCAGCUUGGAACCCUGCAGAGUGGGAUAAAGCUCCCUGAAGGAUCCGGAAGCCUGAGUGUUGUCCUGUGACAUGGCAGCUCUCAGGAUAAGCAUUGCAGCCCAAGCAGGUGGCUACACUGUGCUGUCCCUCUAAUGGCUCCCCUUCUGCACUUGGGAUGAAGUGUGAGUACUUACUGUGUGGCUCAGAGGCUCUGAAGACCCCCAGUGAAAUUCGGCUUCUUAACUCCCAUCACACUGAAAUUGUAUGGUCCUCAUUUAUCUUGUCUACAUGUGCAAAACUCCUGGAAGGAAGGGAUCCUGUUUCUCUCACUCACAGCAUUAUCCUCAGGGCUUAGCAGAGUUCCUGACACACAUUAGAUGAGCAGUCAUUGUUUGUAGGAAAAAUGCAUGGCAUCAAAUAAAUUCCUCCUUCAGUUGACUGGUCCCGUAGACAAAUGCCUAAAUUCAGGGUGAUUUGGAGAAGCUUGGAUCGCUGGCCUGGGUCAGACCAUAACUUUGUCAGAUGUGUUUUGAACCUAGAUGCCCCUGCUGUGCUUAACUCUGUGACCUUGGUUAGGGAAGAAACAGUGUAGUGUGCUAGCAAAGGACAUAGAAGCUGGCAUUUCUGCUUGGUUUAUAUAAGUGCGUGAAAUGGGCAGCACCUGCUUUUAGGCUGUGUCUUCACCACAUGUGGGUUGGUGAACAAUGGCAGAGGUUUCUUUUCUUUUUCUGGAGCAGGUGAGUUCAAGCUAGAGGAUAUCGUUCCCCUAAAAGCUGAAGAGCACCUGCUGCAGACCAUUAGACCCAUGGAGGGACAGAGUGCAUGAACGUGCUGCUUCGCCACCCUUGCAGGUGCCCUUCUAAGCUGCUGACUCCUGUGCUCAAACAAAGCGCUGAAGUGGGGAUACAAUGUCCCUGCAAGAUGUGAUCGACUUCUGAUGUUCCUGAGACAGCAGAAAGCCGACCUAUGACACCCAGGAUCCAUUAGGUGGCUGUAUUGCAUUUCUUUCCAUCAAUGGAUAUCUUCUCCCAAUGCAAGCUGUGAGCUCAGCUGCUCCCCAGAAUCCGUCCCUCAACUGUGGGGAGAACAAACACCAGGAAAACCAGACUGAGGCUUCCUCACUCAGAUCUGCGUGGUGACCACUGUUGUACGUUUAGUACACCUGUCUGCCAGGCAGUAUGACGAUGUGUUGGAACCUUCUUGUGGAACACAGCUGGGGCUGAACCUGUCUUCCAGACUCCAUGGUGAUUCCAUGGCCUGAUGCAGAGGCACAGAGCAAGUUCAUGGCGGGGGGAUUCUAAUGCUUGUCCCAUAUCUUACACUAAUUUGAGAUAACUGAGAUUGUAUUCUGUAUCAUGGCUCACUGGGAUGGAGUCUCUUUCCUAUCCCAUUGGCUUUGGGCGUAGUCAGUUGACUUGCUGUGGCCAAGGAAGAUGGACAUGACAGGAUGCUACCAAAACAGAGGCUCUGUUGCUGCCACUGAUCAUUGUUGUUCUGCUUUUGCCAACUCCAUGAGAAAAAUAUGCCUUGAGUGGCUACUGCAGACCGCCACAGAACUUCUGGUCCACCUGCACUCUUGUGAACAAGUGAAUGUUUGUCAUUGCAAGAUACCGUGUUUUGAGAUUGUUUGGUACUUGACAUUAUUGCAGCAAUAUCUGAUUAGCAUAAAGAGUUUCAAGUUCCUUAAUUAAUUAUUCUUGAAUUUCUCUUUUGGUGUGAGGUAUGAUUUUACUGUGUCUGAUGAAUCUGACAAUGUUGUACAUUCAUGCAAUCACCAACAAGCAAUUGACUCUUUUCUAUCACCCUCGAAAGCUUUCUCAAGCCCUUCUCCAGCUUUCUCUUUCUGAGAGCAACCACAUCCUGUUUUCUAACGCUGUCAUUUAGUUUGCCCAUUCCUGAGUUUCACCCAAAUGGAAUCAUACAGCAUCCUCUCUUUGUGUCUGAUUUUAUUGAUCAAUAUCAUGGCUUUUUAGAUCAUCCAUGUUUGUAUCAGCAGUGUAUUCUUCUGAUUGCUGACCUGCUUUCCACCCUAUAAAUACACCACAGUUUGUGUUAGAUCUACCUAAUGCUAACCAUUUGUGCUAAUUCCAUAUUUUGGCUAUUGUGAAUAAAGGUGAUUUAUUUUCAAUAUAAGUGUUUCUCCUUAGUGUAUAUCUGGAAAUGGUAUUACUGGGUUAUAGGGCAAAAUGUUUUUCAAACUGGAUAUACCAUAUUACCCCAAUCAACAACGUAUUAGAGUUCAGUUCCUUCUACCAUUGUCUUUUUAAUUUUAACUCUUUGGGUAGCAUCUCACUGUGGUUUUAGGUUUUCUCUGAUGAACAGUAGUGGUAAGAA